UAAGGAAUAUUGGUCAAUGGACGCAAGUCUGAACCAGCCAUGCCGCGUGAAGGAUGAAGGUCCUCUGGAUUGUAAACUUCUUUUAUAUGGGACGAAACCUCUUAUUCUUAAGAGACUGACGGUACCAUAGGAAUAAGCACCGGCUAACUCCGUG
rnacentral:rRNA from 1 species